rnacentral:rRNA from 1 species
GACGAACGCUGGCGGCGCGCUUAACACAUGCAAGUCGAGCGAGAACCAGGGCUUUGGCCCUGGGGAAAGCGGCGAACGGGUGAGUAACACGUGAGUAACCUGUCCUCGGCACCGGGAUAGCCCGGGGAAACCCGGAUUAAUACCGGAUGGCCUUUCGAGUCUUCGGGCUCGUCAGAAAAGGUAGCUUCGGCCUCCGGCCGAGGAGGGACUCGCGGCGGAUUAGCUUGUUGGUGAGGUAACGGCUCACCAAGGCGACGAUCCGUAGCUGGUCUGAGAGGACGAUCAGCCACACUGGGACUGAGACACGGCCCAGACUCCUACGGGAGGCAGCAGUGGGGAAUUGUUCGCAAUGGCGCAAGCCUGACGACGCAACGCCGCGUGUGUGAAGAAGG